UGCUGGGAGGGGGCAGUUUUUUCAUUAUGCCCCCCCCCCUUUCGAAGAAGAGGGGGUAUAUUGUUUUGCUCAUGUCGGUCCGUCCGUCCACCAGAUGUUUUCCGGAUGAUAACUCAAGAGCGCUUAUGCCAAGGAUCAUGAAACUUCAUAUGUACAUUGAUCAUGACUCGCAGAUGACCGCUAUUGAAUUUAAGGUCACUAGGUCAAAGGUCAAGGUCACGAUGACCGGAAAUAGUAAAAUGGUUUCCAGAUGAUAACUCAAGAACGCUUAUGCCUAGGAUCAUGAAACUUCAUAGGUACAUUGAUCAUGACUCGCAGAUGACCCAUAUUGAUUUUCAGGUCACUAGGUCAAAGGUCAAGGUCACGGUGACCUGAAACAGUAAAAUUGUUUCCAGAUGAUAACUCAAGAACGCUUUUGCCUAGGAUCAUGACACUUCAUAGGUACAUUGAUCAUGACUCGCAGAUGACCCCUAUUGAUUUGGUCACUAGGUCAAGGUCACAGUGACAAAAAACGUAUUCACACAAUGGCUGCCACUACAACGGACAGCCCAUAUGGAGGGCAUGCAUGUUUUACAAACAGCCCUUGUUACUGUAAACUUUAUAUGUAUGUAUUCAUGAAAAUAUGUUUGAAAAAAACAAAAGUUCCAUGUAUGGCAUAAUAAUUUUCCAACUGAAGUCACACAUGUUUGACCAGAAAAAAGUUUUUGAUAGCAUUUGAAAUGUAUUUGCAUUUAAUCAUUUGUAUUAUGCAUGUAACAAAAAUUACAAUUAAUAAAAUAUAUCAUCAAAGCCUUGAUCCCAGCAAUUUUUUUGUCCUGAGCGCAUCUCUCAUUUGGAGCAGCAAGAUAACAAAAUGAAGUCAAUAAUUUCUGUCA